rnacentral:lncRNA from 1 species
AUUUGGAAGAAGCACUUGCCAGAAAGUGAACCGGGGAAGAAUAUUUCUCAGCCCUCCGUUCUCAAGACAGAUGAGUGCUUUAGAAAGAGGACUCUGCAGCGGCGAGGAGGAUGGAAUGACAGGCAAAGCACGCAGGACCAGGAGGUGGCUUCGUUCCCUCAAUCACUCAUCCAAAGACGUUUAAUGAGCACCUACUGUGUGUCAGGCAUUGUGCUGGGCAAUGGGGAUAUCGUAGUCAGUAAUAAGUGAGGAGAGAUGAGUUCGUUUGUGAGAGGCUCUGACCAGUGGAAUCAGAGGAAGGGAGUUCCCCAGGGUGGGCCAGGUUCAAAGACAUUUUGGAAGUAGAAUCUGCAGAACAUGAUGAUCUUUUGGAAACAGGGCAGGGACAUGAAUGAGCACGUAAUGUCCCCAUGGGUUUGUCUUUCCGAAGGUUUAAAAUCCUCAAGAAUAAGGAACAUAGGCAUGUGUGGUAACGGUCUCCACGGUGGGGGAGUAUUAUGUUAGUGCACCUGCAUGUUAACUCUGCUCAUGAAGGGGCCACGUCUUCACUACCACAAAGCCUCAAGCAUGCAUAUCUGGUCCCUCCUACCCCCUCCCUAUUGAGGUGCAAUAAAGGCCCAUGUUUCUCCUAGUAUGGGAACAGAACUAAGUCCUUUGUUCUAUUAUUUGAUAUGUAUUGACUCAAGCAUUCGAUGAGUAUUGAUGAAGUGUGUUCUAAGCUUGUACCGG